rnacentral:rRNA from 1 species
CUUGAGCGCUGGCCGCAUGCCUAACACAUGCACGUCGACCGAGUGGCGGACGGGUUACUAAUGUCUGGCCCACUGCCCGAUGGCGGGGGAUAACUACCGGAACCCGUCCCUACUACCCCCUCCCAUCGGCUUUACCCAUCUGGGCUUAUCUGGUAGGUGCGGUAACGGCUAACCUACGCGACGAUCCCUAGCUGGUCUGAGAGGAUGACCAGGCACACUGGAACGUAGAGACGGUCCAGACUCCAACGGGACGCAGCAGCGGGGAAUAUGGCACAAUGGGCGCAAGCCUGAUGCAGCCAUGCCGCGUGUAUGAAGAAGGCCUUGGGGUUGUAAAGGACUUUAAGCGGGGAGGGGUUACCCGCAGAAGAAGCACCGGCUAACUCCGUGCCAGCAGCAGCGGUAAUUC